CCUAUCCGUCGUGGGCGUAGGAAACUUGAGAGAAGCUGUCCCUAGUACGAGAGGACCGGGAUGGAUGUACCUCUGGUGCACCAGUUGUCUUGCCAAAGGCAGAGCUGGGUAGCUAAGUACAGAGAAGAUAAGCGCUGAAAGCAUCUAAGCGCGAAGCAAAUCCCAAGAUAAGGUUUCCCAUAGAGUAAUUCUAGUAAGAUCCCUGAAAGACUAUCAGGUAGAUAGGCCAGAGGUGUACAGAUAGCAAUAUCUUUAGCUGACUGGUACUAAUAGAUCGAGGAUUUGAUCUA
rfam:Selenihalanaerobacter shriftii strain ATCC BAA-73 genome assembly, contig: EI55DRAFT_scaffold00003.3